GCAUACUGACACUAUGGGCAGACCAAAGGUAGCAAAAGUAUGUCAAUGUUGCAAUAACCACCUGGAUGAGAUUAUCAACUGAACAUGAACUCAUUGGUUUCCCUUUGAGGAUGUGCUGUCCCUCAUUCCUCCUCCAGAGAAUGUUACCUCACGUUAUAUGGCCAUUGCAAGAGAGGUGUGGGAUGCUACUGGCCAGCCACGAAAUUUAAACCUGGACAUCAACUUUCUAUGACACUGAUCAGUUCAUGACUACUUUUGACAUCCUCAUUCAUUUUUAUAGUUGUCUGCCUACAGUACUACUGUUUUUCAUGGUUGACUAUUGAAUAUUUGAUCAGAUCCAGUUUGUGGUCUUAGUGAGACGUUGAUGUUGAUGUAUCAUUCCUACUCACUGAUCCUUUCUUGGUGUCAGUCCCAGAGCCCUAGAGAUAGUAAGAGUUGCGACACUUCCAUAGGGUGCCGUUGUACGCUUUCUUCCAGUCUACUUCCGGGUUGUGGAGGUUUGUUUAGUUCCUAGUACCGCUUCGACAGUGAUAGCCACCGUUCAUUUGCACUGCAGGUCGUUGAGUAUAUGUGGAGGUAAGUUGAUGAAAUGCCUACCUCUUUUGAAUUGUCAACUGCCUAUAUUUUAUCAGAGGCUCUUUAUGAUGCAUAUGCUGAGCUUUAUUUGUAUUUGCGCAGCGUAAUUAUAUAUAUUUUUUAUCUUGGUAGACAACCGAAUUUCUGCUACUUUUUUUUAGCUCGACUCUGCUGUUAGCUGUGAAGUUAUCGCCAGGGAUAUAUUGACGGAUUAAUUGUUGAUGAGUCGCUACCUCUUUUUAAUUUUAACGUCUUUAUAUUAUAUCAGAAGCCCUUUGUGGUGCAUACAUUUAUCUGUAUUUGUGAAUAUUGGCAGAUGACCUACUUUCAGACAUUGCCAUGUGCUUGUUAGCUCUUCUUUGAAAGCUACCUAGCUACAUCGCUACCUCUUUUUAAUUGUCAAGACUACGUCCUUUAUAUGAGACCCUUUAUAAUGCAUAAACUUAUACUUGUAAGUAUUUAACAAAUAUAUUUAUUAAUAUCUAUCAUAUCUAUCUAUCCGCCAGUAUCCCGAGAGCCCUCACUGAAGACACGAAGACCCUCAUUGUUUCUCCCAUUGUCAAUAAAACAUACUAUUUCAUUCAUCAAAGCAUAAUGAGUUGUUAUUCUUGAAUAUAUAUUUUGUGUAUGUCUUAAAAUGGUUAUAGUGAGUCAACUCCUGCCUUAUCAGAAGUGGCUGGACACUAUCUGCUGAAUGGACUGUUGUUACUCUGCUUUUCAAUAACUCCCAGACUGCGGGUAAGUGAAUCAGAGAUAUAUAGACAUUGUCUGGAAAUACAAUAAUCCAGCUGGGCAAAAAUUAACAUCUUCAAUCAUCUUACAUUUCUGUGUAAAAGGCGAUUUUCCAUGCUAACACGAAUGUGAAACAUUCCCUCCAAAACCCCAAAAGUGUCUUUAAUAUGUCACCUUACGGCUCAAAAUGUAAAACUGACAUUUACAUACAUACUCCAAUGAAUUAAUAAUCAAACAAGUACUUGGAGGUGUGAUUUUAUUCCUUUUUUACCGUGAAAUCGCCGCUCUCAGUCCCAUAGAAGGAAAUGACAGCGCUGCCUGUUUGGAACUACUCAGAGCUCUAGAGAUAGUAAGAGUUGCGACACUCAUGCUCUCGCAGCGGGGCGGUCACGUGGUUCAUGUAAGCCUGAGUAGUUCCAAACAGAGGCAGCGCUGUCAGAUCUGAUAAGGUAAAGUGAAAUAUUGCAUUAACAAUACUCCCUCCUGCAUUGAAACAACAAAAGUACUAACGAACAGAACUUUUGAAAAAUAGUGUUCCUUUUUUCUUUUUGCCUGUUUAUAUGUGAACUUCCUGAAGGGUGGGGAAAAUGUUGCUGUGGCCAAAUACACGGUGAGCCAGAGAGGAACAGGCCGACAUUCCCACAUCACUGGAUGCAGUGUACAUAAUCAAAGAAUUGAAAGAUUAUGGUGCGAUGUGUAUGGAAAUGUCCUUGACUUGUUCCACACACUAUUUCUCAAUUUGGAAGUGGAAGGGUUUCUAAACCCUGAAAAUGAACUGGAGUUAUUCGCUCUCCACUGGACCUACGUCCCACAGCUGCAGCAGCAUCUUCAGGCAUUCAAGGAAGCCUGGAAACACCAUAGUUUGGGGACAGAGAGAGAGCAAUCCCCCAUGCAACUGUGGCUCAGUCAGCCACGUGAGGGAAAUGCUGCUGGUCCAGUUGAGGAGAAUGGCAGCAACGAGCGGACCACAGACCAGACAAAUCACCGUGAUUUAAGCUGUUUGUAGCUGUUGCAAGCUGGAGCACUGAAAGAAUUAAGUUUCUGCUGGGAGAAGAAUCUAUUCAAGAGAGGAGCUUUAUUCCAUUGAGACAGAACAAAUCUGGACUGCAACAUCCAAUUCCAGUGGACAUCUUGAGGUGUUUUCGUGGUUGCCGUGCUGGUGCAAAGGUGAAGGCUAGGAAAUGGAGAUACAAGCCCUUUCUUCCAUCAAUCAUCAUGGGAAAUGUCAACUCUUUGCCAAACAAAAGUGACAAGCUGGAGACAUUGGUGAAGACGGACAAAACAUACCGUGAAUGCAGUCUCCUGUGUUUUACUGAGACCUGGUUGAAUCAAAACAACUCAGACUCAACUGUGGAUUUACCUGGCUUCACCCUCAUAAGGUCAGACAGAGAUGCUAAAGCUAGUGGCAAGAAGAAAGGAGGGGGUCUGGCUUUAUUUGUUAACCACAGAUGGUGUAACUCCUCACACAUAACGGUUAAGGAGAAGUUGUGUUGUCCAGAUAUUGAACUGUUGGCAGUUGGACUUCGGCCAUAUUAUGUCCCAAGGGAGUUCAGUCACAUCAUAACAAUACUUGUAUACGUUCCACCCAAAGUAACUGACUUGGUUCCAUGUGAUGUGUUGCAUGAUACUGUUGCUAGGAUACAUACUCAACAUGCUGAGGCACUUGUAAUAAUCAGGAGAUUUCAAUCAUGUCAGCCUCUCCUCUCACCUGACCGGAGUCACUCAUAAACACUCAAGAAGUUAAGAGGCAAUGCUAUGAAGCUCAUUUCAU